rnacentral:rRNA from 1 species
AUUGAACGCUGGCGGCAUGCCUUACACAUGCAAGUCGAACGGUAACGCGGGGCAACCUGGCGACGAGUGGCAAACGGGUGAGUAAUGCAUCGGAACGUGCCCAGAAGUGGGGGAUAGCCCGGCGAAAGCCGGAUUAAUACCGCAUGAGACCUGAGGGUGAAAGCGGGGGAUCGCAAGACCUCGCGCUUUUGGAGCGGCCGAUGUCAGAUUAGCCAGUUGGUGGGGGAAAGGCCUACCAAGGCGACGAUCUGGAGCUGGUCUGAGAGGACGACCAGCCACACUGGGACUGAGACACGGCCCAGACUCCUACGGGAGGCAGCAGUGGGGAAUUUUGGACAAUGGGCGCAAGCCUGAUCCAGCCAUGCCGCGUGCGGGAAGAAGGCCUUCGGGUUGUAAACCGCUUUUGUCAGGGAAGAAACGCUCUGGGCUAAUACCCUGGGGUAAUGACGGUACCUGAAGAAUAAGCACCGGCUAACUACGUGCCAGCCGCCGCCGUAA